CCCCCUCCCUGUUCAUCGCCCGCACCCCAACAACAAGGAACAGGCCGGAGUCCAGCCAUCCGACCUUGAAUCCGCUUGCCCUCCUGCUUGAUCCCACCGCCACGCGCCACCUCAAUCGCCCACUCCUCCCUCACCCUCUAGGGUUCCCUGCCGCUCCCACAAAUCACGCAAUCGGAGACCCCCGGUCCGCCCUCCAAUGACGACCAUGAGCGAUGAUGGCGACCGCACCUGCCCGCUCUGUGCUGAGGAGAUGGACAUCACUGACCAGCAACUCAAGCCAUGCAAAUGCGGCUAUGAUAUUUGUGUUUGGUGCUGGCACCACAUCAUAGACAUGGCUGAGAAGGAGGAAACAGAGGGCCGCUGCCCUGCCUGCCGCACACGCUAUGACAAGGAUAGGAUCGUCAAGAUGGCCGCCACUUGUGACAGGACAGUGGCAGAUAAAAAUGCGGAGAAGAAGCAAAAGGCCCAAAGGGUUAAGCCAAAGGCAGCACCAACAGCAACAACAACAUCAACCGUAGAAUCUAAGAAGCAUCUUGCUACUGUCAGGGUUAUCCAGAGAAAUCUGGUGUACAUAAUUGGGCUACCUGCGCAUUUAUGCAAUGAGAGCGUACUUGAGCGCAGGGAGUACUUUGGUCAAUAUGGGAAAGUUUUGAAGGUUUCAGUUUCCCGUCCGACUGGGCCUCCCUCUCAGCAGGCAUCAGCAAACAGCAGUAUUAGUGUGUAUAUUACUUAUGCCAAAGAAGAAGAAGCCAUCCAGUGUAUUCAAGCUGUACACAAUUUUGUCUUGGAAGGGAAAGUGUUAAGGGCAUGCUUUGGUACUACGAAGUAUUGCCAUGCAUGGCUGAGAAACAUGACAUGUGGGAAUCCAGAUUGUCUCUAUUUGCAUGAUGUAGGCAGUCAGGAGGAUAGUUUUACUAAAGAUGAGAUAAUCUCAGCAUAUACGAGGACCAGAGUCCCCCAGAUGGCAUCUAGUGUUUCGCAAAGACGUACAGGCAACAUGUUGCCUCCUCCAGGAGAUGAUUUCUCUUACAGUGCAGUGGUUUCAGCCAAGCAUACCUUCAAGAAUGCAACACUUAAUACCACCAACCAGCCCAGACCUUCACCUCCAAACAGUAGUUCUGGGAGGUCCACACUUCCACCAGCUGCCUCAUGGGGACAACGUGAUGUGAACGCCAGGACAACAGCUACUGGGGUGACAUCAUCACAAUCUCAUACAAAACCAAAAUCAGAAUCACAGAGUAAUCCAUUUUCAAGUUCUUCAGUAAUUUCCAGUACAAAAACACCCUCUUCAUGGAAUGAUGAUACAAGUACAGCAGCAAAAAUGUCUGAAGGACAGCAAGUGUCAGAAAAAGAGUCCAAAACCUUGCAGCUGUAUAAGCCUGGUAUUUCAAUGGCAACACAAGCUACAUCAUCACUUGAGUUAUCACUGAACAUAGACUUCUCGACAAUACCUUCAGCUUGGAAUGACGAUGAGAUUGUAGUAUCAGAUGGGAUGUCAAAAGGAAGCGAUGAAAAUCAAGUUGCAAAUGAAAAUGGCGAGCUAACCCAUCCAGCAUCUAAGCCACUAGUCUUAUCUAAGAAAGACAUAACAAUGAAAUCUACCAGUACCAGCAAAAGUCCUCCAAAUAUUGUAUCAAGUCUAGCAAUAUCUAAAUCAGAUGUAAAUACUAGUGAUGGUGACCACUCACUUACCAAUAUUAGCCUUACUUCAAAUGCUGUAGUCUGCCAAUCUAAUCAUGUUGCUGGGGCGAAAAUAUUGGAGGAUAUUAGAUCCAGGGACACUGACAUGGAGAAGCUAUCUGUUCAUAUAUCUUCAGUAAAAUUAGGUGGCAAUGAUGAGAUUCAGAUUAUGGCAGGAAAUCAGCGACCAGAUGUAAUGCCAUGCACAUCUGUUGAUGCGCCCAUGAAUCAGAAUUUCGACAGAGACCAAUCUCAUCUCAAUCUUAAUGAGCCUUUGUUACCUUCAGAAAAUAAGGAUACUGUUCUUUCUUGUCAAUAUAGUUCUGAUAAGCGUCUUGAUUGGAGUUCAGAGAUGCAAAAUGGUAGUGUGACUCCUUCAAAUAAUAUAGUAGAUUCUACGAUGCUCACUGGUAAACUUCAUAGUAUACUACUGGAUGUUUCAGAGCAACCAUCAUAUGCCCGAUUCCCUAGUUCAUUGGAUACUUCAUUGUGUAAUGAUACAGAAAGUAACACUGCAGCAACGAUUGACACUACAAUUUCACAUAUGCAGACUGAGUUCUCUUCAAUUAAUAAUAUGUAUGCCUUGUUAAAUGGAGGUCAAGAUGGACUCGGGACUGUAAAUACACACGGUAAUGUUUCUGAACAGCAUCCUGGAAUGGGAAAUCAUCAAUGUAGAGCAAUGGGUUCAGUAAGAACUGAAGCAAUGGGUUCAGUAAGAACAGAUAGUAUAGGAAGUUUUGAGAAGACCAUAAGCAUAAAUAAGGAUGAGAGCAGAAUAAUUUCUGAUAUGUUAUCAUCAGAGUUUAAUCCAUGGGAUGAUUCAUAUUCGACUGCUAACAAUUUUGUUAGGAUGCUUAGGGAAUCUGAAAAUAAUGAUGUCCACUUCGCUGUGCCUUCAUGGAAAUCAGGAACCGGGAACAAAGAGUCUAGAUUUUCAUUUGCUAGACAGGAUAACCAAGGGAACUUAUUGGAUUCAUCUCUCAGAAACUGUGGUACUGGUACCGAGCAGAAUUUCAGUUUGCUACCCCAGAAUUCUCGAGGAAAUAUCUACCAGAAUGGCCUUGCAUUCCAAUCUUUGGAGAACGAUUUUUCGAACAGCAACUCUCUUGGUGUAUUAGAUAUGUUAACUACUGGUACAUCGAGGUCUAAAAUAUCUGCGCCCCCAGGAUUUUCAGCACCAGCAAGAGUCCCCCCUCCUGGAUUUUCUACUGCACUUCCAUCCCAGGAGUUUCCUUCUGGAAUUUCGUCUCAUGAUGGGUCUAUAGCCCUUCCUAGAUUCCCUUGGGCAUUUUCUUCUCAAAUUUCAGCCCAGGAACUGUCUAAGCCCCCUAGUAGACUGCCUUCUCCAUUUUCUUCUGGUUUUUCAUCUCUGGAUGGGCCUAAUUCCUCGUCUAGGUUUCCUUCUGCAUUUCCUUCUGGAUUUUCAUCACAGAAUGGCCCUAACCCUUCAUCUGGAUUCCCUUUUUCUUCUGGGUUUUCAUCACAGGAUGGGUCUAAUCAGUCGUAUGGCUCAACAAACCCAGAAAAUCUUCUCCGGAAUACUGUUCUGGGUGGCAGUAGUAAUCAUUAUCAAUCUCAGUUUGGAAGGCACUCAAGUGACAUGGAGUUCGAUGAUCCUGCUAUAUUAGCUGUGGGCAAAGGGCUGAUGCCUGGAAUUGGCGAUUCAGGGCUGGAGAUGAAAAAUACUCCUGCUUUUCAAGCACAGUUGCAACCAGCAAGCAGUGAUCCAAGAUUUCACUUACAUAUACAGCCAAAUGUGCAGUCUCACCAAAACAUGGGAUUCGCAGACCAUAUGCAGGAUGGUUUGAACCAUAUGAAUGAUAAUAGAUUUUUAGGUCAGAACCAUGGUCCUCUAUCCCCUUAUGUGCAGAUUCCGCAACAACCCAGAAACUCGCAGGUUACAAAUGGUCACUGGGAUGGGUGGAGUGAUUCGAGACAAGGGAAUAGCACUCCUAUGUCAGACAUGUCGAGGAUAUUAUAUCCAAGUGAAGUGAACAAGUUGCACAUGCUGGGUUCAAAUGAUAUCUAUAACAGAGCCUUUGGAAUGUGAUCAUCUCCUGGGAUAAUGUGUGAGUUUGAGCUGACAUGUUCUGACUUGGGGGCGUUCUGUGGAAGUAACUGGUUGCACAACACAGUAUACCUGAUGUGGAUAAUGGUGGUUGUGCUUAUGAGCUGGUACACGAGUAUUUUUUGCUAUUGGAAUUUACAAAAACGAACCUGAGUUUUGGUUCAGCUAUUUGAAAUUACCAGGUUCGUUCUCUUGUAUGAUCUGUGAAGCUUGAGUGAAAAGAAAGAUUAUGUGCCGAGAACAAAGCAGCUGAAGUUGAAAUAUAUUGAGAUAUGUCUAUAAUGUAGUGUGGUGUGGCUCUUGAACGUGAGCGACUAAGAAGAUUUGGUGGGCUUGACUUGAUGAUGGCAGUGUUUUCUUGUGUUGGUACAUGAUGAUGGUGUUGGUCGGUGGCUGCCUGGCCAGU